rnacentral:rRNA from 1 species
AUGGCCCUCCGCCGCAGCCCGCGGCUCCACCCCCAAAUCCCCGUGAGUGGGGAGGACGCCGGAGUUACCCGCCGACGCAGCUCGCGGCUCAACCCCCAAAUCCGUGUGGAUCGAUGUGUGUUUGUUUAUUGUAAUCCUGGGAUCCUUGUUGGCAAUGCCAUUUACUGGUCGUCUCAGAGUGUCGAUGCUGAAUCAAAUUUUUUGAAUUUGGAUGAGCUCGCAGACGACAUAAUUGAGUUUGAUUUGGAUAGGCAGAGUCUUGCUGUGAUCAAGGGGCCUCCAGAUCUUAAUCAUUCCACCACGCAUCAGAUAAUCCAAACCGAGGAUGGUGAUGUUGGUAUUGCCAUAUUCUCUCAUGGUAGAUUCGAAAUGUGGCAGAGGAAGGUCAGUUGUUUCGGUGGUGCUACAUGGUUCCUGCACAAGACCGUUGAAAUACAUACUGUUCUUGGGAUCCCUCCUCAGGUUGAAGGAUCGGUGAGAGGGGUCAAAAUACUUGGGUAUGAUGAGGAUAAUGGUGUAAUGUUUUUAUUUCUGGACUACAAUGUCUACAUGGUUCAAGUUAUGUCAAUGCAAUCCAUGAAACAUUAUCAAAGCAAUUAUGCAAGUUAUGCUGAUGACAUUCAUCCUUUCACAAGUUUCUAUGCACCAGGUGACUGCUCAUCCUUAGUCCUUGUGUUGUGGUAG